AAAUGAAUAUUUCUUCCGAAAUACAGGCUGAGACUAUUUCUUUAGUAUAUCAAUACAUUGAAACGAUUACAAAAUCAUUAGCUGAGAAAUUUGCAACCAUAACUAAAGCGAAACCCAGAAACAAGAAUUUACCCACAUUACUAGAUAUCAUUUUAGCAUACAAAAAGCUACAAAAUAAACCAGCUGCAAAGAAGCAAGGAGACAGGUAAAUUCAACUACAAGUACUAUCAAGAAUUACAAAAAAGAAUCUUCUAAACCUCAGA